CUUCCCUGUCUUGUUCCUGGGCGCAGAGGGCUCCUCCGGCGCCGCCGAGCUGCGCCCGCUGCCUUCACACCCCGGACAUCCGCGCCACACGUGAGUGUCCCCGCACCCCUCCCCCAGGACCGUGGAAGUCCCAGAUUCGGGCCUGCUCUGGGGCUUCUGGGGUCCCCAGCCUCGGUCACUCUGACGGGUGAAGGGAAGAAGAAAUGAUGGAGAAAACGGUGCUCCUUCAUGGAGGGACCAAAAAAGGACAUACAAUCUAUGUCAAUAGAUGAGGGUUUUCCCUCCAUAAGUUUAACUUUAAAAGUGUAUUUAAGGUGCCGGGCGCAGUGGCUCACACCUGUAAUCUCAGCACUUUGAGAGGCCGAGGCAGGCGGAUUGCCUGAGCUCAGGAGUUCCAGACCAGCCUGGGUAACACGGUGAAACCCCGUCUCUACUAAAAUACAAAAAAUUAGCCGGGCGUGGCAGCGUGCGCCUGUAAUCCCAGCUACUCGGGAGGUGGAGGCAGGAAAAUUGCUUGAACCUGGGAGGCAGAGGUUUCAGUGAGCCAAGAUUGCGCCACUGCACUCCAGCCCGGGUGACAGAGUGACACUCCGUCUCAAAAACAAACAAACAAAACAAAACUGUAAGGAAUCAAAUGUUACAAAAUCCUGGAAGAUUUUGGUAAUGCUGUUGAUAAUUUCAGGGAAAUUAAUGAAGUACAUGUAAGUGCUUGAUUUAAAUGUGUAUUUUAUUCAAUAGUUUGAGUAUCUUGCCAUGGAAGAUACUAGCCCAGCCUAGCAGAAAAGUGCAAUAUGUAUAAUAUACUUUCGCAUUUUAAAAGUUAUAUUCCCUAUCCAUUUUGAAAUGCUAGCCAAACUACAUGAAGUUAUUUGCAAUUAAUUGUAAGCUAAUCAGGAAUUUUGAAAGCUUGAUUGGAUUAACAAACUAUAAUGUUGAAAUUUGGUAAAAUCAUAAUGUUAAUUUUUACUGUGAAACGUUUUCUUGUAAGAUAGAUAUACACAUCCUAGUUUAAUUUUGUGUCUUAGUGUGGAUUUACAAAUUUACUACAGUUAUUCUGAGCCCAGGAACCCAAUCAGAUUUCAGGCCAGUUUGAUACUGGCUGUUCUUAAUUCUAACAGGAGAGUAGGACAUCAUACUAAAUGUUAUGUCAGUGGGACUGUGUUGUCUUUGGAGCUUAGUAAAUUAAUCAUUUUCUUCAGACUUUAAGGAGAGUGAUAAAUAAAAUUUGGAGUCAUAGGAUAUAGAUGUACAAUUUAAAGAUUAAACAUUUUUUUUUUUUUUGAGAUGGAGUUUUGCUCUUGUUGCCCAGGCUGGAAUGCAGUGGCAUGACCUGGACUCACUGCAAACUCCACCUCCCGGGUUAAAGCAAUUCUCCUGCCUCAGCCUCCCAAGUGGCUGGGAUUACAGGCAUGUGCCACCACAGCUGGCUAAUUUUGUAUUUUUAGUAGAGACAGGGUUUCUCCAUGUUGGCCAGGCUGCUCUUGAACUCCUGAUUUUGUGAUCCACCCGCCUUGGCCUCCCAAAGUGCUGUGAUUACAGGCGUGAGCCACCUUGCCUGGCCAAGAUUAAACAUUUUUCAUCAAUUGUGGAUGGUGGCUUAUAACACUGCAAGAAUAGGCUGGGCAUGGUGACUCACAAGUGUAAUCCCAGCACUUUGGGAGGCAGAGGCGGGCAGAUCACAAGGUCAGGAGGUCAAGACCAGCCCAGCCAACAUAGCAAAACCCGGUCUCUACUAAAAAUACGAAAAUUAGGUGGGCAUGGUGGCAUGCGCCUCUAAUACCAGCUACUCAGGAGGCUGAGGCAGGAGAACUGCCUGAACCCAGAAGGCGAAAGUUGCAGUGAGCUGAGACUGCACCACUGCACUCCGGCCUGCAAGAAUAAAAGUAAGUUAUCCAAAAAAAAAACAAAAAGGAGAAGAAAAGGGAGGAAUGAAGGAGAGAGAUGGGGUUGGGGGGCAGAGAUGAGAGAGAGAGAAAGAAGAAAAAAGAAGAAAGAAAAGAGAGAAAGAAGGAAGGAAGAAAGAAAGAAGGAAAGAGAAAGAAAGAAAGAGGAAGGAAGGCAGGAAAGAAAAGAAAGAAAGUGAAAGAAAAGAGAAAACGGUGCUCCCAGCAAAGGGUACGACCUCAAGAUCUGGAGGUCAGACCUGUGCCCUCACGCUCUGCUGGGCUCUGAGUCCUGGAGACGUCGAUGAGGAAAUCAGAGGGACAAACAGAGCUGGGGACGGCGGGGAUGGGGAGAAGGACACAUCAGCCGUGCGCCUGCGGGACCGGGGCCGGGGCGGGGGGUCCAGUAUGACGACUGACAUGGCCAGUAAUAAAACAAGGCAGCCACAGAGCUGCAGGGAUCUGAACAAGAAAACCUGGGGCCAGCCUCCCUGCUGCCGACCACCACGCUACACGUGACCUACGGGCUUGCGUCCGUGGGAAAUAAGCCGAAAUUCCAGGCGUCCCCAGACCCUCGACCACCGAUCGCCUGCUCCCCGCCGGGGUAGGCGAUGGGGGCUGAACCAAGGCCCAGAGCGCCGCCGUCGGACGCCCAAGGAAAGAGGGGAAAGACAGGAGGCCCCGAGGGGCACUGAACCCGCGCCCGCCCUCGCUGGUGCCCCGCCAGCUCACCGUCCACGUGCAGCUCCAAGCGCUCGCUGGGCGCGGAGCCCCCGAAAGGCGGCUUCAGGUCCACGUAGACGCAGCUGUAGUUGGCGGAGUCAGCCACGGAAAUGUUGUGCAGCUCGAAGAGCGCCUCGGUCCCAGCGGGGCUCUGGAAACGGUGCACGCGGCGCCCGCCCCUGUCCUCGCGCACCAGGGCGAAGCGCGCGCCCUCCAGGGGCGCCAGGCACCGCAGCCGCAAGGCCCUGCCGGACUCCGGCUCCGGGGAGAACUCCGGCGCGGGCAGCGUCUCUGCGGAGCAGCACACGGGCUGACCCGGGCGCCCAGCGGCUGGCUCGGCCCUAACGCGUGGUCUGGCCUCGCGCUCUUUGCCUUGGCUGAGUCUUCUGCCCGCAAUGACCUGGCCAGCUUCCUCCCUCGCCUCCUCCGGGCCCGCCCCACCUUUGCAUCCCAGUCCUUGGAUAUCUCACACGCACCCUUUCACUGUUUCUUAGUAAUUUGUUUGUCUACAGACACAGACGGGAAGCGGGGACGGGGACAUGUUUUGUGCAUGGCUUGAUGCCUGGUGCACGAUGCCGCUCAGUAGUGGAUUUGCUCCACGAGCGUCUUCUGAGCACCGCCCCAAUGCCCGCCCCACGGAGGGGCCCCUGUGGUCCGCUGGGCAUGGGGUUCGCUGUCCGGUGCUCAGAGUUUGCUAAAUACCAUCAGGUCCAAGGCAAGCGAGCGGAGGAGCUGCCUCAGCAGAGGCCCUCAGUGCUCACCUAGACCUGGCAGCUGGGAUGGGACCUGCCAGGUGGUGCCCCCUGUGGCCUGGGCCAGACCUGUUCACCCAGUUAUUCCCUGUGGGGCCUGAAGGUUGUCACGCUCAUCAUCAUAUUUGCAGUUUAGGACCCUGAAUCGGCGGGUGGGCGGAUAAAGUUGGUAUUGGACCCUGGCCCAGAGCACUGCACUUCCCCAGACUCUACACCUGGUACUGCUCCUGCUCCCCAGGGACCCAGCCGCGUCCCUGUCCCUGCUGGCCCCGGCUCACCAUCGCUCAGAAUCAGCUCGACCGGCGCGCUGUCCCCGGACCAGCCGUUUUGGUUGUCAUGCAGCCGGUAGCGGCAGGUGUAGUGACCUCCAUCCCCCAGGGCCACCGCGUUCAGGUGAAAGAAGAUGCGAUCUGGGCUGGUGCUGCUCCUGGGUACCAGCAGCUCUUUCUCCCCGCGCCGUAGCUGGAAGUCCACUCCACUCAGGGGAGCCACGCAGGUGAGGGUCACCUUGUUGCCAGGGUGCAGGACCUGGGAGGACUCUCCAUGGUGCAUCAGCACAGGCGGUGGUGGUGCAGCUGCAAUGCAGGCAGCAUUACUAGGCUGCCCCAUCCCUGGAGCUGCCCUCUGCCCAGUCCCCAGACCUCUGCCCUCCGGGUGGCAAUCCCAGGAACACCCUUCCAUUCUUUUUUUUUUUUUUUUUUGAAACGGAGUUUCGCUCUUGUUGCCCAGGCUGGAGUGCAGUGGCGCCACUCAGCUCACUGCAAGCUCUGCCUCCCAGGUUCAAGGGAUUCUCCUGCCUCAGCCUCCUGAGUAGCUGGUACUACAGGCACCUGCCACCACACCUGGCUAAUUUUUGUAUUUUUAGUAGAGACGGGGUUUCGUCAUGUUGGGUAGACUGGUCUCGAUCUCUUGACCUCAUGAUCCGCUGGCCUCAGCCUCCCAAAGUGCUGGGAUUAUAGGCGUGAGCCACCGCACCCGGCCUCACCCUUCCAUUCUUUGGGCAUCCUCUGCCCAAACUCCUUUGCAACCAUCAGACCCAGGCAACCGUGUGGCCAGCUUCCUGGACCUGGUCCUGGGCAAGGACAUUCAGCAUGGAGGUCAGGAUGAAUGUGGUCAUGCCCCCUGUAUCCUCCUCCCCCAGCAGCCCCCAGAGAUGGUUCCCACAGUCACCGAGCUCCUCAAUGGUCACAGUAGCGCUGGGCUCAGAGAGGGCGCCUUCCCCAUCGGUCCGGUAGCUGCAGCUGUAGUUGCCAGGCUGAUGGACUGGAAAGGUGGCCUCCACAUCCUCCUGGGCCUCAGGCACCUCCAGAAACUCAUGGUCGCCCUCCCGCCUCAGCAGAAAAGUCACACCCCGCAGCACACCUCGGCACACUGCUGUUGUUUUCAGGCCGGGGGUGAUCCAGGACACUGGCGCCAUCGAGAGCCAGGGAGCAGGCAAGGACUCUGUGGGUGGGGUGGAGUUGAAGAGUGCUUCUGCAUAACAGGAGACGUGGGAAGCCCAGCAGAACCUGGGCCCCACACUCAUAAGACUGUGAAGGAGACAGGGAUGGAGGGCAUUGCUGGGAAAAGGCAGGCAGGCACCAGUGGAAACAAGGCAUACGGCAAGAGAAAAAGAGUGUGUGGGAGCUGUACGGCAUGCCGGGCCUGCUGGGGACACAACCAUGUAUUCCUUACAACACAGACAUCAUCCCCAUUUGACAGAUGGGAAGAUUGGGGCUUGGGGCUCAGAGACAUCGGGUGACUUGGAGGAAGGGAGACCCCCCAGUCAACAACCUACCCACUGCCUCCUGGCCCCCAAUUCAUGCCCCGGCUCACUUGGCCCUGUCAGCUCCAGGAGCUUGCUCAGCUGGGUCCAUCCUGUGGACAAGCCCGAGCGGCAGCGGUAGCGGCCCUGGGUGUCACCCGUCAGCAGGAACUGGUGCUUGAUGGCAGGUGAGUCAAGGUGCACAGGCUCCUGGGCCACCCCAUUCUUGAACAGCUGGAAGUCUGGAGUCUCCAGGUGGGCCUGGCACGUCAGCGUCACAUUGGCCAAGGGUUUCAGCAGUGAUUCGGACUCUGCCCACAGGCUGGGCUGCGUCUCAUAAACUGCAAGGGGUGGCUGGGAUCAGCUCAGUGCCACAGAGACAGGGCUCCCCCCCGGCCUGGGCCCACCAUUCCCAGACCUCACCCCUGCACUCACAUAUGGCUGCUUCUGUCACUGGGCCCCAGGUGACACCUGCGGAGACAGCCCCCGUAAGGCUCCUGUUCCCGCCCCCUCCCGCCCCAGGGACCCAGACCCCAGGAGGCCUCACCCCACAGCAAGAGAAAGACCACGAGCAUGGACAUGAUGGUCGCGCUCACUCCGGUGCAGUGAGUGUCUGGGUGAUGGAUCCUAGAACCUGUUCUAGAAGGAGACGCUGAGUUCUCCCCACUCUACCUGGAGCUGCUGAGGUCAAGUGGAGAGUGCCGGGGCUGAAGCCCAGCGAGCCCCUCCCUGUCACACCACACUGCACAUGUGACACCAAAGGUGGGGUUCACCUCUUUUCAGACUUUCUGCGGUUGCCCUCACAUGGGCUGUCUGGAGGUGCACCCUCACUCUUCCUGAGGACUGUGGUUCCUUCUCCAUCACUGGUUCAUUCUGCAUGGUGUGACCCACCACGGCUCUGGAGUCGGAUUUCCACCCAGGUCAUUCAGCUGAGACCUGCGCUUCCCAGGCCUACCCGUGACAUGUGCUCAGUUACCUGAGCUGCUGGUGGUCACUCAUGUGGCUAUAGCCUGCUGCCUGGAGGCCAGGCCUCCCGCUUCCCCUGCCUCCCCCUCUCCUCACCACAGCCUGUUGGGAUGGAACAGGACAGGGGUGAGACCGUGGUGCUUUCACACUCAGCCUCCAUGGACAUCCUGUCAUUCCCACCCGGGGAGGUCUGGUCCCCACCCUGGGUGUCCCAGCCUAGCUCCGCUACGAGUGUGAGGGCCCAGGGCAACCGCCUAGCCCUCAUCUGCCCCCUGCACUGCAUCCUCCCCACUCAUUCAUUCCACAGGCAUUUAUUGAGCAUCUACUGUGUGCCAGAUGCAAAGAAGACAGUGGGAUAACUGGGCAAGGAGCAUUCCAGGCAGAGGGAACAGCCAGUGCAAACAUGGGAGAUGCGGGUGCAGUGAGAAGGAGCAGAGGAGACCAGGAGUUGAGGCGACUGCAGAGCGAUUGCAGAGCUCAUAGACGUGAUGAAGACCAGCUGGGCACUGCAGCGGCUCUGGCUUCUGCUGUGAGGGACGGGGAGCUGUGGAGACUCCCUCUGUUUGGUCCCAUUUCCAUAUUGCUGAGCACCUGCUGCAUGCUCUCUGUCCUGCUCAGAGCCAGUACCUGGAUGGAGGCUGUGUGUUCUGGGUGGACUGGGGGAGAAUGCAUUCUUUGCAGAAGAGACAACCAGGUGCUGAGGCCUGAAGUCAUAACCAGACCUGGGGCACUCAGACAAGGACUGGUGGCCAGGCCAGAGGAGCAGAGCUCAGGGUGUGCACAGAACUCAGAAGUCAGACCACUGAACAGUGACAGAACCUUUCAGCCCAUUGGCAAUGAGGCUGCCCAGGCAGCCAGAGGCCUGGUCAAAUCUGAGGUCUGCAGAGAUGGAGCUGUCAUUCUGUGUUUCCUUUGGCAGUCCCAACACCAGCCUCGUUGCACCCUCCUCUUAGCUUCCCUGGGUUCUCCAGCCCUAAGGGUGGUAGCAGCUUCCUGCAAGUAUCCAGCUCUGAGAUUCUGCAACAUCCACUUUUGCUCUCUGAGCCUUGCAAAACCUGCACAAUCAGUCCCUAACUUAUAUCCCCUCUGUUUGAAAUACCUAGUGUGGUUUCUAUUUCCUGACUUGACUCUGACUGGUGUGGUACUUGGUAUAAAGAAGGUUCCCUGGCCAGGUGCGGUGGCUCACGCCUAUAAUCCCAACGCUUUGGGAGGCUGAGGCAGGAGGAUCACUUGAGCCCAGGAGUUUUGAGACCCGCCUAGGCAACAUGGUGAGACACUGUCCUUACAAAAAAUUUUAAAAUUAGCCAGGUGUAGUGACGCAAGUCUGUCAUCCCAGCUGCUUGGGAGGCUGAGGUGGGAGGAUCACCUGAGCCUAAGAAGUCGCGGCUGCAAUAAACAGUGAUUGCACCACUGCACUCCAGCCUGGGUGACAGAGUGAAACCCUGCCCCCUCCCCCAAAAAAGAAAAGUCCCAUGAAACAGACCUACACAGGUGAGAUUCUGAGAUUGAUCUGGUUCUGACCUCGGUCAGGAAUGCAGUGCUGAGCUUCUUGCCAACAGAAUAUGAGACACUAGAAAGCCAUAGCAUGCGGUUUCAUCAUGUUUAACUGUCACCUGUGGUUGCCUGAGAUGAAGUGCUGACUGAAGCGAGCACCUUAGGAGACACAGUGGCCACUGCACUGAGCAGCUGGUAGCAGCAGUGGUGACCAUGUGGACUGGGGGGUGGGUUGGCUGCUUUUGACAGUGCCAGAGAACUCAAAGAAAUAGCCACACCUGUCGGAGACCCCAGUUCUUGCCCACCUCUGCAUGGACGAACCUCUCGCCGAAGUGGAGCCUGCCGCCCUCCCUGGGGUAAGAGCCCAUCCUACAUGUCCCCAGACAGGCCUGGGUGGCCGGUGGACUAUCGUCAAAGGGACUGUGCAGCCAGGGUUCUCCACACCCAAGGCCGCCCCUGCACUCCCAGCAGGAGGGCGCCCGCACCGGCGGCCCGAAAAAGUCUGGGCCAGCAGACAGCGCACUCACGCCCGAGACCCCGCAAUGCCGUGUGUCCGCGACCUCCCGCUCAGGGCGUCCUCGGGUCAGGGCGCAGCGCGGCCCCCGUGCCGCUUCUGGUGCUCGUUGAGGUUGCAACGGUGGCUGAAAGGCUUCCCGCACUCGCCGCAAGCGUAGGGCCUCUCGCCCGUGUGCGUGCGCCGGUGGCUUAAGAGCUCCGACUUGCGCACGAAGGCCUUGCUGCAGUGGGCGCAGACGAACGGCCUCUCGCCAGAGUGCAGGCGCUGGUGCUGGCGCAGCUCGGAGCUGCCGCGGAAGGCCUUGCCGCAUUCUGCGCAGGCGAAGGGUCGCUCUCCCGUGUGCGAAAGCCGGUGGUGCGCCAGGCCGGAACUGCCGCGGAAGGCCUUGCCGCAGUCGGCGCAGGCGAAGGGCUUGGCGCCCGAGUGCGUGCGCCGGUGGCUCAGUAGGUUGGAGCGCUGGCUGAAGGCCUUGCCGCACUGGGCGCACGCAUGAGGCUUCUCGCCCGUGUGCACGCGCCGGUGCUCCGCCAGGUAGGAGCCCAUGACGAAAGCCUGGCCGCACUCGGCGCACUCGAAGGGCCGCUCACCAGUGUGCGUGCGCUGGUGCUGCAGGAGCUGCGAGCUCUCGCGGAAAGCCUUUCCGCACUCGGCGCAGGGGAAGGGCUUCUCGCUGCUGUGCGUGCGCCGGUGCUGCCGCAGCCCCGCCACACGCACGAAGGCCUUGCCGCAGUCGGGACAGGCGUGUGGCCGUGCGCCCGCGUGGAUCUUCAGGUGCUCGGCCAGGUUGGAGCUCUGGCUGAAGGCCUUGCCACAGUCCCGGCAGGCGUGCGGCCGCGCGCCCGUGUGCACGCGCCGGUGCUCCAGGAAAUUGGAGUUCCAGCUGAAGGCCUUGCCGCACUCCGGGCACUCGUAGGGCUUCUCGCCCGUGUGCGUGCGUCGGUGCUGCACCAGCGUGGUGCUUCGGCCGAAGGACUUGCCGCAGUCCGGGCAGCGGAAGGGCUUCAGGCCGCUGUGUGUCUCCUGGUGGUGGAUGAGCUGCGAGUGCGCGCGGAAGGCCUUGCCGCACUCCCUGCAAGCGUAGGGCUUCUCGCCGCUGUGGAUGCGCUGGUGCUGGCUGAGGUUGGAGCUCCAGGCGAAGGCCUUGCCGCACUCGGGGCACGUGUACGGCUUCUCGCCUGUGUGCACGCGCCGAUGCUGCAGCAAGUAAGAGCCCUGGCUGAACGCCUUGCCGCACUCCCCGCACCGGCAGCCCGGCUCCUCUGGGAGAGGCGAAGGGCGCAACGCCCGGUCUGCAGGCUCGCUCCUGGGCCCAGCCCCGUCCCGCCCACCGUCUGCGGGGCCCAGCUCCCUGCCGGGGCCUCCCUGUUCGUCCGCCGCCCCCAGUGUGGCUUGCUGCCGCUGGCCGUCCCCUGCCUCCCUCGGAACCUCCGUGGAGUUUUCCCAGGCCCCCCAGCCUCCAGACACAGCCCCCUCAGAGAGGCCCCUCGUGGCAGUCUUCACAUUGCAGAGGACCUGGCCUUCCUCUGGGGCCACCUGCAGGGUCCACCCUCUUGGGGACUCCAUCUCGCGCCUGUGACCUAAAACAGGAGAGAAAAGGCAAGUACCUUAGAGAAUACAAAGAACACCAGACAGAGGGCCUGAGGGGGACACGACGGUGGGUGGGCUGUCAUCCCCCACUCUUCUCCUCCAGGUCCCUGGAUGCCCAAUGCCCUCUGGAGCCUGGAGCAGGAAGGCCAGCAGGCGGGCUAGACACUCGGGGGAUGGGCCAGCACUCUGGGCCUGCCUGACAGGGCCACGUGCACAUCCCCACACCCGGCCCGGCCCAGCAGGAGGGGAGGGGGCGCCAGCAUCGCAGAAGGACUCAAAGUUGCCCACGCACCUGCACUGGCCCUACUGUGGCACCACUCUCCUCUCCUUGCUUCACAGGGUGGGGCCCCAAGUGUCAAGAAGGUGGAGACUCCAGUUUGUGAGGAACACGAUGGACCCGUCUCCAUUCCUGAAGGCUGGAGGACACCGCCUGACCCAAACACAGCUAUGUCUGCCUCACCCACUCCACCCUGGCCGGAUCCCUGGGUAGUCCCCUCCACACAGUAUGGGCAGCAUGUCCAGGCUGGAGGAUCUCAGUGGCUGUUACCCAGGCAAUGUCCACACCAGGCCUCUGUGCAGUUCUCAGGACACAAUGCGGAGCACACAGGUGUGGACUGGAGAUCUCUGACUCUGCCGUCCAAGCCAAGACCACCAAACUCCCACCUGUCACCAUCACUUUCCCACAGCCCCCAGGCCCUCUCAGCCACCAACCCACGACUGGCCCCAGUGCUGGCUCAGCUGGGGUCGUGAGCAGGGGAAGCACACCCAGCCCCCAGACCAGCCCCCACUCAUCUGGAGUCCUGGCCCAGCUGACUCCUGCUGUAGCCGCUCUGCCAGGGCAGUGGCCUCCUCAGGGCUGCCUAGCCACUGCUCCUGCGUGUAGGCCUGGAUCUCUGGGAGCAGUGUGCCCAAUAACUGCUCCAGCACCAAGAGCUCCAGCAUCUGCUCCUUGGAGCAGGCCUCAGGCAUCAGCCACUGGCAACACAGCUCACGCAGCUGAGCCAGGGCCCCUCGGGGCCCUGCUGCCUUCUCAUAGCAGAACCCCCAGAAGCACUGGCCAGGGCUCUUGGAGCUGGGCUCACCCACCAUCAGUUCCAGUGGACUCGGGAAGACCUGGGGGGCCAGGGCUGAUGCCUCACUCAUCUGGGCAGCCAUCCUGCCCCUUUCCUGGGAGGGGAGUGCAGCUGCAUGGCCCAGGGUACUUUCUCUGCAGCUGGAAACACAAAGGUGAGCCUGUGAGCACAGCAAGGCCACGAAGGUCCCCUCCUUGGGACCACCUGAGACUGAGUAAAAAUGGAAGAAUGGGGGUAUCGGCGUUUCUGGCCCCCAGUGUCAGCAUCUUUGCCCACCUGUGUGUCCAGGUGCCUGAGGGACACACUGAGGUGCCAUGGCUGCUUGUACCAUCCCUUCCCCCCGCCUCCCCGCUUUUCUUGAGGGUCCCUGCCCUGCCCUGUCUCCUUGGCACCCUUCAUCCCACACACAGAACAACUAAGACAGAGACUGUGAACAGGACACCCAGAGUCAGACCAGCAGAUGGGUCCUGUUUGUCCCCUCCAGGAAGUGUUUUAAAAAUUUAAGUUAGGCCAAGUGCGGUGGCUGACGGCUGUAGUCCUAGCACUUUGGGAGGCCGAGGUGGGUGGAUCACGAGGUCAGCAAUUCCAAGACCAGCCUGGCCAACAUGGUGAAACCCCGUCUCUACUAAAAAUACAAAAAUUAGCCAGGCGUGGUGGCAGGCGCCUGUAAUCCCAGCUACUCGGGAGGCUGAGGCAGAGAACUGCUUGAACCCGGGAGGUGGAGGUUGCAGUGAGCCGAGAUCGCGCCACUGCACUCCAGCCUGGGUGACAAAGUGAGACUCUGUCUCAAAAAAAAAAAAAAGAGAAUAAAUACUGAUACAUACUACAAGAUGGAUGAAUCUUGAAAAUAUUAUGCUAAGUGUAAAUGAAAAAAUUCAGACACAAAAGACUUCAUAUUAUGUUAUUCCAUUUAUGUGAAAUGUCCAGAACAGAUAAGUCUGUAAGAGACAGAAAGUAGAUCAGCGGUUGCCAGGAUCUGCAGGGAAGAGAGAAAUGGGAGAUACAGCCGUGGGAGUGAUGAAAAUAUUCUGGAAUUAGUGGUGAUGACUGUGCAACACUGAAUAUACCAAAAACCACUGAAUUACACACUUUAAAAGGAUGAAUUGUAUGGUAUUUAUGUUUUUUAAAAAAGUUACCACCCAAUCCCAAAAGCUUAAAAACUGUAUGACUCCAUUUCUUUUUCUUUUUCUUUUUUUUUUUCUUUUGACAGGGUCUGGCUCUGUCAUCCAGGCUAGGGUGCAGUGGUGCAAUCUCAUCUCCCAGGCUCAAGCCAUCUUCCCACCUCAGCCUCCGAAGGAGCUGGGACAUCAAGUGCGUGCCACCAUACCCAGCUAAUUUUUUUAUUUUUUAUUUUUCUAUUUUUGAGACGGAGUUUCGCUCUUUCACCCAGGCUGGAAUGAAGUGGCGCAAUCUCGGCUCACUGCAACCUCUGCCCCCAGGAUUCAAGCGAUUCUCCUGCCUCAGCCUCCCCAGUAGCUGGGAUUACAGAUGCCUGCCAUCAGGCCUGGCUUAUUUUAUUUUAUUUUAUUUUAUUUUUUAGUAGAGAUGGGGUUUCACCAUGUUGGCCAGGCUGGUCCCGAACUCUUUUUUUUUUUUUUUUUUUUUUUUUUUUUUUUUGAGAAGAGUCUUGCUCUGUCGCCCAGGCUGGAGUCCAGUGGCGCUAUCCUGGCUCACUGCAAGCUCUGCCUCCCGGGUUCAUACCAUUCUCCUGCCUCAGCCUCCCAAGUAGCUGGGACUACAGGCGCCUGCCACCAUGCCCGGCUAAUUUUUUUAUAUUUUUGGUAGAGCCGGGGUUUCACCGUGUUAGCCAGGAUGGUCUCGAUCUCCUGACCUCGUGAUCCGCCCGCCUCAGCCUCCCAAAGUGCUGGGAUUACAGGCGUGAGCCACGGCACCCGGCCGGUGGGCCGGUCCUGAACUCUUGACCUCAGAUGGUCCACCCGCCUCGGCCUCCCAAAGUGCUAGUAUUACAGGCGCGAGACACCUCGCCCAGCCUAUGCAACAUUCGUAAAAUGACAAAAUGGUAGAAAUGAGAACAGAUUACUAGUUGACAAAAAGAGGUUAACGGGGAGCAGAGGUAGGAGGGAAGGGUAUGCGGCUCUGUAAGGGCAACACGGGGAUCCUUCGUGAUGGAAAUAUUCUGCAUCUCAGUUGUGAUAUUGUACUCUAGUUUUUCUUUCUCUUCUCUUUUUUUGAGACAGAGUCUCGCUCUGUUGCCCAGGUUGGAGUGCAGUGGCGUGAUGUGGGCUCACCGCGACCUCCGCCUCCUGGGUACAAGCGAUUCUCCUGCCUGAGACUCCCGAGUAGCUGGGAUUACAGGCACCAGCCUCCACACCCGCCUAAUUUUUGUGUUUUCAGUACAGAUGGGGUUUCACCAUGUUGCUCAGGCUGGUCUUUAACUCCUGAGCUCAAGGGAUCCACCCGCCUUGGCCUCCCAAAGUGCUGGGAUUACAGACAUGAGCCACCGCACCUGGCCUCUAGUUUUUCAAGAUGCCACCUUUAGGGGAAUUGGGUAAAGCGUACAUAGGGUAUGCAUUACUUGUUACUGCAUGUGAAUUUAUAAUUACCUCAAAUCAAAAGUUAAAUUUUAAAAAAACGACAUCUGAUUUCAAUAAAAAUCCAUAUUUGUGUAUUGAAGUAUCAGAAA
rnacentral:lncRNA from 1 species